UCUUAUCCUUUGAAACCCUUUUCUCUGUUCUCAGAUUAACGCUACCGCAAAACCCUUUCUUUCUUCUCGCUUCAAAAUCGUCAUAGUUGUUAGAUUUCGAUUCUCUUUCGCGCUGGUUGUUAGAUAUCGAUUUUCUUUCGCACUGGGCUGUUUUGUAACGUCAUUACAUCAAAAUAGAGAGGAGGAUACCCAUCUAGGUUUUACUGAAUGAUUGUACGGUACUCUUUUGGAAGGGGUUUCUGCACCUUCUUUGACUACAAGAUCUUGAAAUUGAUGGAGUGUUUAGAUAAACUUGUAUGCAUUCUUGACUCCUAUUAGAAGAAGAAAUUCAGAUCUUUGUCAAGAGGACUUCAUAGGUUUUUGACAAACUAAAUGUUGAUUGUAUAAGUUAAGAGUUGAGUUGAGGCAUGGAGAAUGGGAUGACACUUUGAUGUACUUGGUAGGACAAGGAACCUACGACAAUGUUUAUAAAGUUCGAGAUUGAGACACAAGAGAUAUCAUGGCUCUUAAACAGAUCUAUUUUGGACUUGCCAAUUAUUCUUGUACAAAUUUGCCAAUUAUUCUUGUACAAAUAAAAAAGAACGUCUAACAAACUAGGUUGUGAUGCUAUUGUAAAAUCCUUAAGAUGCAAUUUAUUGUAGUUGUAACUUUGUUAUUUUAUAUGUGGUUUAUAAUUUAAGAAAAAAAUUCUAUGUAGUCUAUAAUUAUUUUUUUAAUUAAAAAAAUAAAUU